GAGCAAACAGGAUUAGAUACCCUGGUAGUCCAUGCUGUAAACGAUGUCUACUAGCCGUUGGGGCCUCUGAGGCUUUAGUGGCGCAGCUAACGCGAUAAGUAGACCGCCUGGGGAGUACGGUCGCAAGACUAAAACUCAAAUGAAUUGACGGGGGCCCGCACAAGCGGUGGAGCAUGUGGUUUAAUUCGAUGCAACGCGAAGAACCUUACCUGGCCUUGACAUACUAAGAACUUUCCAGAGAUGGAUUGGUGCCUUCGGGAACUUAGAUACAGGUGCUGCAUGGCUGUCGUCAGCUCGUGUCGUGAGAUGUUGGGUUAAGUCCCGCAACGAGCGCAACCCUUUUCCUUAUUUGCCAGCGGGUAAUGCCGGGAACUUUAAGGAUACUGCCAGUGACAAACUGGAGGAAGGCGGGGACGACGUCAAGUCAUCAUGGCCCUUACGGCCAGGGCUACACACGUGCUACAAUGGUCGGUACAAAGGGUUGCUACCUCGCGAGAGGAUGCUAAUCUCAAAAAGCCGAUCGUAGUCCGGAUCGCAGUCUGCAACUCGACUGCGUGAAGUCGGAAUCGCUAGUAAUCGCGGAUCAGAAUGCCGCGGUGAAUACGUUCCCGGGCCUUGUACACACCGCCCGUCACACCAUGGGAGUUUGUUGCACCAGAAGUAGGUAGUCUAACCGCAAGGAGGACG
rnacentral:rRNA from 1 species